AUUGAACGCUGGCGGCAGGCCUAACACAUGCAAGUCGAGGGCAGCGGGGACGGGUGAGUAACACGUGGAUAACCUCCUAUAAGACUGGGAUAACUUCGGGAAACCGGAGCUAAACCGGAUACUUAUCGAUGGUUCCGCGCUGCAUUAGCUAGUUGGUAAGGUAACGGCUUACCAAGGCAACGAUGCAUAGCCGACCUGAGAGGGUGAUCGGCCACACUGGAACUGAGACACGGUCCAGACUCCUACGGGAGGCAGCAGUAGGGAAUCGUCCGCAAUGGGCGAAAGCCGGACGGAGCGACGCCGCGUGAGUGAUGAAGGUCUUCGGAUCGUAAAACUCUGUUAUUAGGGAAGCGGUACCUAAUCAGAAAGCCACGGCUAACUCCGUGCCAGCAGCCGCGGUAAUAC
rnacentral:rRNA from 1 species